UAUAAGACUGGGAUAACUUCGGGAAACCGGAGCUAAUGCCGGAUAACAUUUGGAACCGCAUGGUUCUAAAGUGAAAGAUGGUUUUGCUAUCACUUAUAGAUGGACCCGCGCCGUAUUAGCUAGUUGGUAAGGUAACGGCUUACCAAGGCAACGAUACGUAGCCGACCUGAGAGGGUGAUCGGCCACACUGGAACUGAGACACGGUCCAGACUCCUACGGGAGGCAGCAGUAGGGAAUCUUCCGCAAUGGACGAAAGUCUGACGGAGCAACGCCGCGUGAGUGAUGAAGGUUUUCGGAUCGUAAAACUCUGUUAUUAGGGAAGAACAAAUGUGUAAGUAACUGUGCACAUCUUGACGGUACCUAAUCAGAAAGCCACGGCUAACUACGUGCCAGCAGCCGCGGUAAUACGUAGGUGGCAAGCGUUAUCCGGAAUUAUUGGGCGUAAAGCGCGCGUAGGCGGUUUCUUAAGUCUGAUGUGAAAGCCCACGGCUCAACCGUGGAGGGUCAUUGGAAACUGGGAAACUUGAGUACAGAAGAGGAAAGUGGAAUUCCAUGUGUAGCGGUGAAAUGCGCAGAGAUAUGGAGGAACACCAGUGGCGAAGGCGACUUUCUGGUCUGUAACUGACGCUGAUGUGCGGAAGCGUGGGGAUCAAACAGGAUUAGAUACCCUGGUAGUCCACGCCGUAAACGAUGAGUGCUAAGUGUUAGGGGGUUUCCGCCCCUUAGUGCUGCAGCUAACGCAUUAAGCACUCCGCCUGGGGAGUACGACCGCAAGGUUGAAACUCAAG
rnacentral:rRNA from 1 species